GACGAACGCUGGCGGCGUGCUUAACACAUGCAAGUCGAACGAUGAAGCCUAGCUUGCUAGGUGGAUUAGUGGCGAACGGGUGAGUAAUACGUGAGUAACCUACCUUUAACUCUGGGAUAAGCCUGGGAAACUGGGUCUAAUACCGGAUACGACCAAUCUCCGCAUGGGGUGUUGGUGGAAAGCGUUAUGUAGUGGUUAUAGAUGGGCUCACGGCCUAUCAGCUUGUUGGUGAGGUAACGGCUCACCAAGGCGACGACGGGUAACCGGCCUGAGAGGGUGACCGGCCACACUGGGACUGAGACACGGCCCAGACUCCUACGGGAGGCAGCAGUGGGGAAUAUUGCACAAUGGGCGCAAGCCUGAUGCAGCGACGCCGCGUGAGGGAUGACGGCCUUCGGGUUGUAAACCUCUGUUAGCAGGGAAGAAGAGAGAUUGACGGUACCUGCAGAGAAAGCGCCGGCUAACUACGUG
rnacentral:rRNA from 1 species